GGAUGGACCAAAGCAGUUACACCCAAAGAAAGAACACUGGGAAAUGAAUGUAAACUGUUUGCAGUUUUGUUUUUCUUCCUAGGUUAUUUUUUACCAUCUGAAUCCAAUUCUUGCUGUGCAACAAGAGAAUUCUGUUCUCACACAUAUAUUGUAUCUAGGCUAUACGGUGACAUAUUCAACAUGUAUAGGACUGCUUGCCAUCUAGGGGAGGGGAAAAGUCGGAACAGAAGUGAGUGCAAGGGAUAAUGUUGUAAAAAAAUUACCCAGGCAUGGGUUCUGUCAAUAAAAAAGUUAUAAUGAAAAAAAAAAAAAAAACAGAAUAGGCUAAAUGGCAAAAGAGAGACAAAAAUUCAAGGAAGAUAAUAACUCCUUGAAAAGUAGAAUUGGCCAAAUGAAAAAAGAAAUACAAAAGCUCACUAAAGAAAAUAAUUUCUUAAAAAUUGGUUUUGGCCAAAUGGAAACUAAUGACCCCAUUAGACAUUAAGAAUCAAACAAAAUAAAAAAGAAUGGAAAAAUAGAAGAAAAUGUGAAAUAUCUCUUUGGAAAAGUAACUGACCUGGAAAAUAGAUUCAGGAGAGAUAAUUUAAGAAUUAUUAGAUUACUUGAAAGCUAUAAUUAAAAAAAAAAAAAAAAAAGAGCCCAGAUAUCAUCUUUCAAGAAAUUUUCAAGGAAAACUGUUCUAAUAUACUAGAACCAGAGGGUAAAAUAGACAUUCAAAAAAUCUAUCAAUCACCUCCUAAAAGAGACCCUAAAGUGAAAACUCCCAAAAAUAUUAUAGCUAAAUUUCAGAACUUCCAGGUCAAGGAUGGCAAGCAGCCAAAAAACAACAACCCAAAAAAAACCCAAAAA